UUUGCCAAUACCGCACUGCCUUGGUCACUGUGGCUUUAUAGUUGCGUCUUGAAUUCAGGUAGCAUCAAUCUUCCAACUUCGUUCUUUUUCAAGACUCAGAACCUUGAGCAAGAAAAGCAACAGUCUGGAUGAUGAGAUUGUAUUGGAGGACCUAAGGAUAUAGACCCAAUGAUUCAACCCUACCUAAUUUGACUGUUGAUAUUUUACAAAGCUCAACAGGAACCAACUCCUACUUCUCCUCCAGUUUCACUCUGUUCCAUUCUCCUGCUGGGCUCCAACCACACUGGACUUGUUCCAGUUCCUUAAACUUGUCUGAUUUUCCUUUCCCCACAGCUUUCACACACGCUGUUUCUUUUGCUUAAAAUAUUCUUCUUCCAGCCUUGCCUUGGCCAACUUCACUCAUCCUUCCGAUUUCAGGCACCCUGCCCAGAGCCUGACAACAGCCAACCAAGAACGAUCUCCUCCCUUCCUUGCUGUGUCCAUCUGGGUGGACUUUUCCCAUUGUCUUAGCAAGGGAGCUGCUCCGAGGAAGUACCAGUCGUGUCAGCCAAGAAGGCCUGGGAGGAGCUGCUUUCCAGAAGCCCAGGUGCGUGAAGGAAGGCUCUUCCCCAGCUGACCAAACAAAAUGGGCGGAGUCAUCCCGAUGGACGCCUAGAGGCUCACGCCCCCUCACAGCAUCCGAAACAUUUACAUUGAAGAGCGAGAUUAAAUCGCCAGACCAGCCCAUAACAUGAAUUUAAAAGGCUGUUUUUUCAUGACAUCUCAGUAAUGCCUUCAGGAUAGAGUGGUAAUGACAACGUGCCUGAAAAGAAGAUGGUACAUUUCUGAGGAAGCUACGUCAUCAAUACCAAAGCCUUUUGGCCUCAGAGGCUUUCUAGAAAGCAAAUGCCUCGCCUUGGAUGGGGGCUGGAAUCCAGUUUGAUCAGCAGUCUGAGCAGUGGGUGGGAAUUGGAAUCCACAUUCUCACAGUCUCACAGCCUUGACAGACAGAAUAUUCUAGAUGUUGCAACUCUGAAGCCACAUCAGGGAUGGAUGGCAUGUGGUCAUUUGUUAUUUACUAAGGCAUGAGUUUACCCCUCAUAUGGAGGGCUGGCCUGACGGUGAUUUUCUAGCAACCUUUUCUGCCCCUAGCACCGUAUUCAAUCAUUCUUCUUUAGCAUAUAUUUGUGGGCCUACUGUCUGCAAAAUGCUCCCCUAGGCCCCAGGGAUGCUGCGUGGGCAUCUCGGUCUGCAGGACACACGUUCCCAUCUUCAUUAUUUGCCAUGAGCCAGCAUCAUUUAUACAACAACCCUUCAGUAAUAAAAAAAAAAGUUGGUGUCUUUGUAGAAAUAGCCCUGGAAAAGAAAUCUGGGUGUUGCCUUAAAAAAAAUUUUUUUUUAUUGCCCCCCCACCCCAUGUUGCUUAAAUAAUGUGUUCACUGUGGAAAAAUUAGAAACUAGAGGUGAGCAGGAAGAAAAUAAUUAGCUCCCUAAAUCCUACCAUACAGAGAUAACCACAGCUAACCUUUGCUUCCCACACACAUGAGCUCUCUUUCUUCUUUUUGUAUAUCUACGGCCUUUUUAAAAGCAUAAUUAUUCUUUGUGUAAUUUCUUGCCCCUCAUCUCCUUCUGUAGAAGGCUAUACUGUCCCAUCAUUCCAUCUUAAUAGGCAUAUUUGUAUAGCUAAUGGCUGCUGACAUUCUCUGGGUCCUACUACCCUGUGUAUUAUAUC